GAUGUCUCAGUAUGUUGCCCAGGCUGGUCUUGAGCUCCUGGGCUCAAGGGAUCCUCCCACCCCAGCCUCCCACAGUGCUGGGAUGACAGGCGUGAGCCACCGCACCUGGCCGAUAGCAGCACUAUUCGCAGUAGCCAAAAGGUGAAAGCAGCCCAAGCUCCCAUCCAUGGAUGGAUACGCAAACGUGCUCCACGCACAUGACAGAAUACGAUUCAGCCUUCGAAAGGCAGGAAAUUCUGAGCCAAGCUACAAGGUGGAUGACCCUUGAGGACAUUAUGCUAAGUGAAGUCGGCCAGAUACAAAAAGACAAAUACUGUAAGAUUCCACUUCCAUGAGGCCCUUAGAGUAGUCAAAUUCAGAGACAGGAAGUAGAAUGGUGGUUGCCUUGGGCUGAGGGGUGCGGGGAGUUGGUGCUGAACAGGGACAGGGCUUCAGUUUGGGAGGACAAAGAUCUCCGGUGACAGAUGGUGGUGAUGGCUGCACAGCACCGUGAAUGUGCUGAACGCCUCCUAACUGUCCAUUUCAAAAUGGUUAAAGUGGUAUAUUAAAGUGGUAUGCUUUAUGUGAUGUGUAUUUUACCACGAUUAAAAUUGUAGAAAGGAAAAGAAAAGCUGGCCAAGCAUCUUAGUUUCGGCACACUGACACUCCAUGUCACAGCCAGAACGAGGGACUUCCACCACCGGGAUUCGAGAACCUGAAGACGCUGGCCACCAGAGAGAGUCACCAGGCGCCAAUGUCUGUGGCCCGCGGCCCAUCCCAGAGGCGAGGCUCUCGGUAUCCAGGGCCAGCUCGACCUGUGGCCCGCAGCCAGCCUCCUGCAACCACAGGGAGGAACCAAGAGAGGCGGGAGGGCCUUCGGAAAUAGGCACGUCACUGACCUGCUAGAAGUUACUUGAGCACAUCCAUUCCUUGGCAAUCACGGAAAAGAAAGUAUUUUCUUCUAGCGUACCCAGAAUGCUCAGCUGAGCUAUCUGACCUGACCUGGCCCGGCUCACGGCCCCAGCAUGUGGAUUUGGAACCUACAAGCACACUGGCUCUGUUGGCAGCCCCAACUCGCACACCCAGUCUCGUCUCCCCGGCGGGGCUCACCGCUGCUGCGUGGGCCUGUGGGGACUCCUCUCUGCUCUCCCACUGGCUGCAGCGUUCAUAAGUCCCCCUUCCCCCAACACGGUGCUCGGUGCUGAGUAAAAAUAUACACACGCACGUGGAGCCCAAAACCAUAUUUGUCCUAGGGAUUGGCUCAUGCUAGAUGGGAAGAAUAAUCGGAGUGUGCACAAGCAGGAGCAUUUGCUAUUUCUUUUCCAGUCUACGAUGAAGCAGGAACGUAAACUGAGUUACUCUAGUCGGCCACAACAUGGAGUUCUGGUGUUUAUCUAGCUGAAAGCCUGUGUAAUGUGAGCACAGAGACACAUUCAUUCAUUCAAGAAGCACUUUGGGAGCACCCACGCUACGCCAAUAAGACGGCUGGGAGCCGGGAUUACAAAACACCCCCGGUCAAGGUGUGCCACAAAAGAUGACAGCCCCCCAGAGGGGAUCCCGAAAGCAGCAGCUGGAAGUCAGUGGGAUGUGUGCUAAGAUCCCAAACGGGGGAAGCCACGGGACUACAGGAGGCAACGGCAAGGGCGCCUGCCCCUACCGAGUGGGCAGGGAAGGCGUCCCAUGGGAACCGUUUAAGCGAGAAAGGCACUACGAGUAGGAGUUACCCAGGCUGAGGACAGGGGUGCGCAGGCAAUACCAGGCAGGGACAAGCACUUCCAGACAAAAAGGAGCAGAGUCAUUGGAAGGCGGGGGAUGGCAAACAUUUUCUGGGCAGGGCCGGAGGGUCAAUAUUUUCAGCUUUGCCACCUCAACUCUGCGGUCGUGGCACGAAAGCCACCCCGCAGGCACAACACAGAGAUGAAGGAUCAUGGCGACUUGAUUCCUGGACAGUGGCAUCUGCAUUUCCCAUCACUCUUGCCUGUCCUGAGAUAAUACCACUCUCCCUUUGGUCAUUUAACUACUCUCCCCGGGCUGGACACUUGGAACUUUCCCAGUCUUAUGCUGUCACUAGCUAUGCUGCA
rnacentral:lncRNA from 1 species